UACGUAGGGAGCAAGCGUUGUCCGGAAUCAUUGGGCGUAAAGCGCGCGUAGGCGGCCCUGUAAGUCCGUUGUGAAAGUCAAAGGCUCAACCUUUGAAAGCCGAUGGAUACUGCAGGGCUAGAGUCCGGAAGAGGCGAGUGGAAUUCCACGUGUAGCAGUGAAAUGCGUAGAGAUGUGGAGGAACACCGAUGGCGAAGGCAGCCCCCUGGGCUAACACUGACGCCUCGAUGACACG
rnacentral:rRNA from 1 species